CCUACGGGUGGCAGCAGUGAGGAAUAUUGGUCAAUGGGCGCGAGCCUGAACCAGCCAAGUAGCGUGAAGGAUGACUGCCCUACGGGCUGUAAACUUCUUUUAUAAAGGAAUAAAGUGAGGCACGUGUGCCUCUUUGUAUGUACUUUAUGAAUAAGGAUCGGCUAACUCCGUGCCAGCAGCCGCGGUAAUACGGAGGAUCCGAGCGUUAUCCGGAUUUAUUGGGUUUAAAGGGAGCGUAGAUGGGUUGUUAAGUCAGUUGUGAAAGUUUGCGGCUCAACCGGAAAAUUGCAAUUGAUACUGGCAGACUUGAGUACAGUUGAGGUAGGCGGAAUUCGAGGUGUAGGGGUGAAAUGCUUAGAUAUCACGAAGAACACCGAUUGCGAAGGCAGCUUACUAAACUGCCACUGACAUUGAUGAGCGAAAGUGUGGGUAUCAAACAGGAUUAGAUACCCUUGUAGUC
rnacentral:rRNA from 1 species